AGAUGUUCUGGGCCGCACGCACGCUACAGUGAAGGAAUCAGCGUGUGUUCCCUGGCCGAAAGGCCCGGGAAACCCGCUGAACCUCUUUCGUGCUAGGGAUUGGGGCUUGCAAUUGUUCCCCAUGAACGAGGAAUUC
rnacentral:ncRNA from 1 species